AUUUGAAACGAUAGUGUACACCAGGUUAAGCUAUGUAUCAUGUGUAUCUAUAAUGGAACAUAUUUAAGGUGGGCAAAUUGUUCUACACUACAUUAUUACCGUGCAAGAUUUUUGUCGUAUCAGGAUAGCAUUACGUCAGGAGAUGGUUCACGUUGCUCCUAAGUCACGUGAGUGCUGAACGUUGCACUUCCUUGAAGUUAAUUUGAUGUUUUCUGCAUUAUUUGUUUGUUUAUUUCGUUAUUCAGCACAUUGCGAACUUACUAUGUGAAAAACCGAACAGUUUGGAGACACCUGACCUAUAUCUAAGAUAACGCCUAAAACAUGUAUUUCUCCAGCGUGGCUGCACUUUGCCCUAAUUGACGCUAAUAUAAUAUAAAGUGUAAAAUUCACAACAUUAACAGGAACGAUAACGGUAUUUGCAUUAGAAAGCUGUACGUCAAAAGACGAAGCAAUUUUCAUAGUGUACUGCGCAUGCGCUGCGAAAAAUCUGUUGUGAAUCGUGUGACGCAUGUAACAGCGUUUUACUGGUGCCAAUAUUGCAUGUUUCUUGAGCAAUUGUGGCUUAUUUCUUUGAGAAAUAGACAGAAUAAUUUGUGUAGAAAGUCAUUAUUAGUAUUGCGGCACUGCACUUGCUCUGAGAACAAUGUGGUUUAUGACAAGCCUGGCAGAGAGAGGGUUUUCAGAGGAAAGUAUCAAGAUCAAGAUAUGAACAGUGAUUUAGAGGAAGAUGUUCUGGUGGAUGACUGGCUGACAUCCAAACAAGAUCUAUUGGACACAUCAGAUGAAGAACUGAAUGAUGACCUUUUACGUAGCGAUGAUGAGAACGAAACUAUGAGAUGUCACAAUGAAAGCAUUCCUAAACCAAAACUGCAGGCGAUUGCAAAGCCUUACCUUGUUUGUGAAACUCCACACCUUGCUGAAGACCAAGCCAGAUGUCCUAAAGAAGAGGUGGAGGUGGACCCUGGUGAAGUUUUAGACAUCGAAAUCAAUGCUCCUUCUGGAGAUGAAUUUCAACAGGAAGUUGCUGACUACAGUGACCAUCAGCAGGCUGACAUAAAGAUGGAUGUUAAGGAUGGUAUUAAAGUGGUGUCCAGUUUACCCAUGCAGGAGUCAAGAGAGGGUGGAUCUGAGUUGCGAGAGGGUCUCUCUCCUCAGCCCUCUGGGCAUCAUCUCACACGCUCCUGCAGGGGACAACCUGCCCCAGAGGAAACCCUCACUGGACCCUCCCGCAGUCCUGAGCCAGUGUUCCCAGGACAGCAUAUGUUUGAUCAACAACACUCUGCUUCAGUCUUGGACACUAAUCCGCUCCUUGCUGGACCUACUCCCAUGGGCUCCAUUCAGCCUCCAGGAAAUGAGAGUGACCCCUGGAGGCCCAGUCUAGCUUUGCAGGGGCCCACGGAUCUGUCAAAGCCUGGGACUCCCCACCAUGGGCAAAAGCCUCUCCAGAAACAUCCAUCAGCUCAGUCUGGCUGCUCCUUUACUGCUCCCUCUGGACCACAGGCACAGAAACCUGCUGUGCUGGUAAGAGCUGUUGCCAGGAUGGUGCACAGUGCCAAGCCAAUGGCUGUUGCCAGGGGGAUGCCCAUUGCUGCAAGGCAGCCAGCAAGUGCCAAGUCUAAGAUAUCUGCCAAAACUCCACCAGCGCCAGGGAUGGUGGGAAGAAAUGUGGGUCAGAAGGUCAAGGUGCAGCCCCAAACUCCUCCAGUUACUCAAAAACUUCCCGCAAAGCCACUAAACAUGACAAACAACAAAGAGUGUGAAGAGGAGGUGUUCUACAUGGAGAGGCUGCGGGAGCAGAUGCGACUGAGGGAGCAGGUUAUCAAACAGAAGGAACGGAUGAGAUCUAGACGGGCUGCAAACAAGAAGCAUCUGUGGCAGGAGCGAUUCCAAAUUGAUAGUUCCACCGGACACUGGAACAACAACCAAAAUCAACAGACACAGCCGUGUGUCUUGGGUUCUUGCCCUCGGAAGGUUACACACCAGCAGCCCUUUCAUAAUCCCCCUCACUGUCUCGUCCUGGAGCGCCAUCCAGAAAUCCAGCCCUUGCCUUCAGAGCAGCACCAGCACCAGUACCAGGUUGUAGUACCCCCACUUCAGCCACCAUGGCAACAAGCUCCACCGACACAAGGGAAUCCAUCAGGCCGUGCAGCAGGGCUGCAGCAUAAUCAGCCUCAUCAGAGGGGCACAGACAGGGUGGUGUUACAGGGAAUGGAGCAAGUCCCAGAUCAGAUGAACCAACUGUACAGUAUAGAUGAAGUCUGGCGAGGACGCAAGAGGAAGUGUGAGCCGAGAACUUCUGACAGGCCUGUUCCCACCAAAAUUAGAGUGGUCAAACACCUCAGCCCAGUUAGUGUGAGUUGUGAUCUCACACCACAGAUGAGCGAAGAGACUAACACAGUGACUAAAACGAAGCCCAGAAUUGUCACCUUCAGAAUGCCUGAUUCAUCAUCACCUUCAUUUCUGCAACAGAGUCUCAAGUUAAACUGUCCCAAACAGGGAAGGGGAUCCGGCCCAAACCAGCCCCAGGAUGAGGUGGCUGUCAGGGGAAACCAACGCAGCGCUUUCAUACCCUUCAGUUUUGGCCUGAGAACAGAGUCUAUUACUGCUCAAACCCAUGUCAACUUCAUAGUAAGACUAAACCACUGAACCUCUUGGAAAUCAAGCCUUAUCUCUUGGAAAUCAAGCCUUAUCCAACAAAAUGCAGAGUAGAAAAUAUUCAGUGUUCUCACAGGUUUGGCAACGUUUUUGUUAUGAUGCAAUAUUUGCCUUUUUUGUGAUUGUUGAAGACAGUGGUUUGGCAUUUUGCUCCUUGGUUUCCAUUAAAUACCUACACUGCUUGCAUGUUCCUGCGUGGCUGUUCAUGUCAUUUAGCAAGAAACCCUUGAAUUUGUUUGUUCUUUGAUAUAUUGAUACUUUUAUACAGUCACUCUUACCGAUGUAUUAUUCCCCAUAAAUGUUUUUCAGUUUUAGAUAAAAAUGACCUAUAAAAACAAAGAUGGCAUCAUGAUGAAUUAUAGCCUGUUGACAACUGCCAGUAAUGUUUUAAUAAGCAUUAAAGGUAUUGUUCACCCAAAAAUUCUGCCGUUGUUC
rnacentral:lncRNA from 1 species